GGAGGGGAGGAGCAGCACAAGGACAUAGAGCUUAUAAACGCCCCUUUUUUUAACUGUUUCUUCUCCCUCUAACCCCCUUCUAUCAUACACACUGUGUCAGAGAAAUCUGCUUUUGGAAGUUGAACGUAGGCUGAUGAUAUGUUUUGAGCGUAAAGUGAAUAUUUAAUAUGUUUUCCUGGAACUUACUUACUUCAAUGCAUUUUAAAAUGAAUAUUAUGUAAGAUAGUGUGACCGGGAUGAGACUACUUUCGCUUUAAGAGGAUGUGUAGGAUAAUUACACAGGUGUUUAAUCGCUUGAUCUCGUUCCCUCUGCUCAGUGCUCUAAAGGUUGCUGUGGAUAUUCUGUCUCUUCAGUUUGGUGGAUUUAGUGGCUUUAGUGACUGCUGGGCAUUCUUCAGGAGUGUCAUUUAUCAGGUCAUAAAUGCAGACGCACAGCUUUCCAGAACAGGAUGUGUAACAAAUAACCAAUUGCUCAAUAGCACCUGAUAUCAUUAGCCAGGAGUACUUCCUUUUCUGUUGACUUGGCAACCACUGAUUCUUUCUUUGUAUUUUUAAUUUAUUUUCUUUCUUCAUUUAUUUUGUAUUUCUUUACACCAUUAUACACGAUAAAAUACAACAUGGAAUUAUACGCUCCUGUUUUAGUAAGUUUGAUCUGGGCAUAAAAUCUCCCUUGGGUUUGUGUAGGAAUUGAGUUCUUGUGUAUUGGGUGUUUUUCUUAUUUGUUUAUUAUUUGGAUUUGAGGUGCGAUUGAAACAUUUUUUUGUACAGGUUUAAUUUUGAUGUGAUUUUUUUUAUUGUGUUUAUUUUGUUUAUUAAUGCUAGAACUCAUUCCUUUUAUGCCCAGUGGGUGUUUAAAUCUGAACCAGUAGGGGGAGCUGUUGACAGUCUUUGUAUAUGUGGAGCUUCUAUUUUACCAUCGCUGUUGAAUAAAUUGUAAACUCCUUUGUACUCUGGCUUCUAAUUCAUUCAUUUGAAUUGCUUGAGCGUGUUGUCUUAUUUUCUCCCACUAAGUUGUUAAAGUGGGGGUGGUGUAGUCAUUCUCAGUUUAAUUAUCAAAAUGAGGAAUUUAUACCUUAUGGUUCACAUGCUAUGGUCACAAUAGCAAGACUCAGCCGACUCAAAAUCAGACCGAUUGUGUUCUCUACAUACGAGCUGCUUUUUCUUCUAAUACCAGACGUGUCAAGUAACACAGUACAAAUACUUCGUUACUUAAGUAGAAAUUGAGUAUCUAUACUUUAAUGGAGUAAUAAUUUCUUAGCAUACUUUUUACUUCUACUCCUUACAUUUUCACAAAAUUACUUGUACUUUCUAUUCCUUGCAUUUUAAAAAUAGCCUCGUUACUAAUAUUUCAUUUCAGCUUAUCAUUAAAAUAAAACAUAUUAAGAUAAAUCGCGCCAUAUAAAUAAAUAAAUCGUGUCAUCCGGAUAGAGAGAAUGUGGUUGUGGUUGGAUGAGAAGUAUAAACAUUGUACCAUUCCGACACCCUAUUGGUUUGUACGUGAUCUAUUGCACCUGCACAUUGACACAAAUCACACUUCAGUUACCCAAAUACGAAGAUGUCUGUGGAAGAGGCUCAAAACGAAAUGUCUCAACCAAGCACUAGCACCAGUGAGGAAGUUGGUAGCCAGGAAGACCAACCAACCCCAACCCUUAUACAUCCCUGGCUGUCCCUGGAAGAAUUUUUUUGAAAUGGUUGGAUGGAUAAAACUCAUUAACCAAAUGUUAUCUGAGCUUAUAUUGUUACUAUAUGCAAUAUUUGUAAGUUAAUUGUGCAAAGCUAUAAUCUACAGCUGGUUGAUAAGUUAUGUAGUAAGGAUAGUCAUGAUCCAUCAUUUUGAUCAAUGAUGUUAAGCACACAGCUGUUUGUUGUAACCAUUGACUUCCAUAGUAGGAAAACAAAUAUUAUGGAAGUAUAGUGAUAAAUGAAGACCAUAUUUUGAUAAAUGAUGGUAAGCACACAGUUGACGGUACCAUUGAAUUCCAUCAUUUAUUUUCCUACUUCCUACUGAGGAUGAGGUAGCCUAGUGUUUAAGGUGUUGGGCUACCAAUCGAAAAGUGGUGAGUUUGAUUCCUAUGUUCACCGAGCUGCCAUUGCUUGGCCCCUGAGCAAGGCCCUUAACCCUC